rnacentral:tRNA from 3 species
GGAACGAUGGCAGAGCGGACGAUUGCACCUGUCUUGAAAACAGGCAGCCCACAAGGCUCGGGGGUUCGAAUCCCUCUCGUUCCGCCA